rnacentral:lncRNA from 1 species
UGCCUCCUGCCCGGUCCCUGUCCUGUGCGUCGGGCGCUUCCCAAGGUGCAGAGGGCGCCACUGCAUACCCGAGGUCGCGGCCACCGGCUCCUGGGCCAGGCCCCGUUUCUCGCCUCGAGCCGUCGGGGGAGGGUCUCCAGGGUGCUUGUUUGGGGAAAGCGGAAACAGACUGUCUGGGCCGCUGUUAAAAUGUCAGCAGCCAAGGAAGAAGCAGCGACCUGGCGUCUGCUCGGGCCAGGUGACCUUUAUGGCGGCGCCUUCUGUCCCUGGUCGCUUUUCCACUGAAUGAAUGACCGAAACUGUAGUAACUCAUGGCCAGGGAAUGGCUUAGUUAUCUGAGGGAAUCUUGUCUUGUCUGUGAAAAAGGGAAACUGGUGCAAAUGGGAAUUCAGACAGGUCAGGAGGGGAAGGAAGGGAAGGAUUGAGGUGGGAAAAGAGAGAGAAAGAUGAUUGGCCUCUUAGGGGAAGAACACACUUGGACGUGGCUCCUGGGGCACUUCCUUGAUUCCGCUGUACUCGUCAGCGGGACCGGAGAGGCGGAGGUUCCAGGAGGGAGCCUUCCAGAGUCGGUGCAGGGUUGACAGGAGACGUUUGUUUUGCUUUUCCUGAACUUUCGAUCGCCAGCUUGUUUGGUCUUCUUGAUGUUAUAGGGUUGAUAGAGAGGAGUGGAGUGAUAUCGGACACCCAGCUUCGGCAAGCUCUCUCCAAGGGUGAGUGGGCCAGUGGGACCUGGGUCUCCGGACCAAGAAGCCGCGAGCCUGCCCUGCUCACAGUGGAUAACUUUCUUUCUGAAGUUGAUUUUCCAAGGACAAAGGAAUCAUUAGGGCAAAUUAUUAUUACUGCUUCAUGGUGGAGAUGCUUCUGGUUUAUUCUGUGGCUACCGCUGUUACUGCUUGGAGUGCCUCACCGAGCCAGCUAACAACGGCGUGCGUGAGCACAGGGAAAGGCUUCUUGAGAAAUGAAAACUAGGUUGUAGGUUUAGGAGGGGAAUAGGAAGGUUAGCUCUGUCCAGCCGAAAGCCUUUUGGUAAGUUGGGGGUCCUUGAAUUUCCUGGGUGACUGCAUCUUGGUGACUUCUCUGAAUAGACCUUCGAGGGCACUGGGGGGUGAUUGUUGGAGGGCUUGGGGAGCUCAGGCAGCACUUGUGUGGGAACGUGGCUGUUACAGGAACUGCAGAAACUGGGACUGGGUUCCUGGGGAAAGGAUUGGGGGUGUUGGAGGCGCUGGCAGGGGAGUUAUGGGGAGGCGUUCUUAUCAGUGUGCGAAUAGUGGGCGUUCAGGCAGCGGGAAAUCCGGGUCCUUGCGUGUUGUGAGCUCCCUGGAGUUACGUUCUUGCCAGUUUCAGCUCAAUUGAUCCCCCUCCCCUGAGCUAUCAUUGGAUACAUUUUACUUCAUUGAACACCUGACUGCUGCUUUUUCUGUAAUCCCUCAGGGGCAGUCAUCUUUUCUGAUUCUGAGUAUAGUUUGCCUUUCCAGAUCCGUGCCAUUUAAGCUAGAAAAGGGGUCAGUUUUGAGAUGUGAAAAUGUUGAAAGGCUCCUCGUUAUUAGUGGGAAGUAUCUGAUGUUGCCAGAGACUGAACUGGGGCGCGGGGAGCACUACGGCUGCUAGACACUGCCUCACUGCGCUGUGGGUGGGGGAGGUGCUGGAUUCAGUCUUACUGCCUAAUGAUUUGUGAGGAUUUGUGUUUUCAGAGUAACAUGUUUACCUUAUGUUAUCAGUUCCUAAUAUGUGACGUAUGGGCCACAGAUGCUGGUGUAUUAUUUCACAUGCAUUUAUAUAGAUUGUUUUCAGGGAAUUCAGAAAUUCUGUUAUCUCUACACUAGUGAUUGUGCUUUCUUGAUUUUUCUCUUUUCAUUAUUCUUAAAUCCUCCUUUUUUUUAUUUGCAUCUCAGUUCGUUUAUACUCGGGAAGUGCAAGACAUGGCUACUAGAAAGAGAUGUCAAGAGAACCGGAAUCCAGUAGGCUACAAUUUGGCAAAUCUUAGCUUAAAACUUCCUAAAUGUUGACCACAGUGGAUGCAAAUGGCUCUGUGCAUCGUCUGUUCAAUAUGGUCAGGUGACCACCCAGGUUCACGUGGUUUGUCACCAGGGUGAUACGAGCCACAUGGAGUGCCCUCCUCAGAGGCCAUGUCUCAGAGAUGUGUAUUUUGAGUGGUUUUCCAGCAAGUGAUGCAAGAUUUAUGAUCCAUUUUAAGAGCCUGCUUUUUAUGCAUUUGCUCAAAUUUUUAGAUUUUAAGUUUAGUUUUAGGUUUUCUGUUAAACUUGCUCAACUAGGAGUGGUGGUCAAAUACUGGACCUCAUUAGCAUGGUAGCCUGCACACCUUGGCAGGCUCCACUGGAGUGCUUUGGGGCCUGCCUGGAUUCCAGUCCUGGCUCUACCAGUUUUGUGUCCUCGCCAUUACUGGGAGGGAGAAUUGAGGAAAUGCAUGUGAGGUGCUUCCCGUGAUUCCUGGCACGGAGCAAGUGCUCAGUAAUUGUCAGCUGUGAGUAUUAGUAGUAGCUAAUACACUACUACUAUUCUUGGCUAACAAGCCAGCUCAAAGCUUUGAUGGUUUUCCAUUACCUGAUGAUGGUGAUGAUGGUUUCCACUUCCUGAACACUCACACCCCUGGGCUAGGCACUUAACCCAAAUCCAAGGUCAGCGUUAUUGUUUGGGGGUGGGGGAGACACCUCCUGCUCUGACUCGUGUGUUUGGGUUCCCGUAUUUUCACCAGAGGGUGUUAGUCCUGCCCAAGUUCAGCUGGUCCUCAAAGCGUAUAUAGCUCUUUAACCCUCAGCAAGUGUCAGUCAGAACAUAAUCUUGAUUUCAGCUGCUACUAAAUAUCUACCAGGAGCCUGCUUGAGAGAGAGAAUUGCCUGACAGGUGCUGAGUCCACCAUUCCUGAGAUACUUUGAAAUCAGUGUCUGGCUUAACCCAAGCUGUGUAUGGGGACCCUCUCACCGUGGUCCCAAUGGAGUCGCUUUUGUUAGGCGCCCCCCUUUACCUUGGGCUCUGAGCUUCCUCUGCCUUUCAUCUCUGCAGGAUGAAGCCCCACCCGCCGUACAGGAUGCAAAGCCCUCCUCUAUAAAGUGCAUGCGGGGCCAGAUGCAGUGGCUCACGUCUGACCUCCCAACACCUUGGGAGGCCGAGGCAGGGGGAUCGUUUGAGACCAGCCUGGGCAACAUUGUGAGACCCUGUUCCUUGAAUUGCCCUGGGAGAUUUCCUCAGCUUGUGUUGGAGGCAUGUGGCCCCAUGAAGCCCGUAGUCACCGUUUACCCUGAGAGACGCUGGCUUUGGGGCUGACACACCUGCUGCGGGGCAGCCCCAGGAGAUGGCCACCCUGUUUCUCCUGGAGCUGGAGCUGCGCGUGUUCUCAGCAACUGUGGUGGCUGUCCUGUUUUGUUUGCAUCUUAUAAACCUUUACCUGAUUACAUUUUCCUCUUCAGUUUAGCUGCUAGAGAACUUAAAGUCAGAUUGGUGGCUCGCCAGUAAUGAGAGUUUAGAGUAGAGGUAAACUUUAUGACAUAGUCUUAGACUCUUCCGUUUCUCCUCAGCCAACAUGAUUCACAUUUACUUUAUUUUGCUGUACUGUGAGUGUCUUUGUGUUUCCUGAAUUCCUUCUGGAAUAAGGCAGGCUGGUAGUAAGCACAGGUUUCUGGUCCAUCUCAUAGCCUCAGGCAGUGGGUGGUGCUGUCCAUGCUCCCUUUCUGGGUUACCUGUGGUAGCUCUGAAGUUGCAGGGCUGCGAUUUGAAGCCUGAUUUAGUACACCGUGUUUCUGUCAUGUUCUGUGGUGGUUUGCUCCUGACAUGUGACCAUUCACCCUGUGGCCCUGUGUUUUUCCACCACACCUCUGCCUGGUGGCAUCCUACUGGAUGUCUCAGCCGAGCCACUCUGUUCUGAAGAUGCCCUUGUCCUCCACCCCUUUGCUUUGGGCUCUGAGCUUCUGCCUUUCAUCUCUGUAGGAUGAAGCCCCACCCGCCCUUCAGGAUGCCAGCCUUGGCAACAUUGUGAGACCCUGUUUCUACAAAAAGUAAACGUGUAGUGGUGCACGCCUGUAGUUCCAGCUACUUGGGAGGCUGAGAUGGGAAGAUCACUUCAGCCUGGGAGGUUGAGGCUGCAUUGAGCUGAGAUCAAGCCACGGCACUCCAGCCUGGGAGACAGAGCGAAACCCCAUCUCAAAAAAACAAAGAAAGUGGAUGCGCGCUGCUCCUGCCAUUGGAUCAUCGCAGCAUUUUUCUUUUCUCUGAUAUGCGCCUUUUUCCUCACCGUGGGGGCUCAUGUUUUCGUAGUUUCUUCUCGCUACUAGAUUGUGAGCUGCGUGAAGGAAGGUUCAUAGUUGUGUUGUAUGUACAGGCACACAAAAUUUGUCCUUGGAUAGACACAUAUCAGUCCGCUUCCUUCUCCUCUCUGAAUUUCUUUAUUUAAAAAAAAGAAUUAGAGAUGGAGUCUCACUGUCUUGCCCAGGCUGGUCUCAAACUCCUAGGCUCAAGCGAUCCUCCCGCCUCUACUAAUAUGAAUUAUUAGCCUAUACUAAUAUGAAUUCCUAUACUAAUAUGAUUGAAAUUAGUUUGACUUGUAUAAUAAUUGUUCUCCCAGAUUGGGCUUCUGUUUUGAUAGUAGAACUAAAUUAUUAGGCUAUUUCAAGAAAUUAAUAUAUUACUGGUAGAAAAACUGAAGCUACAAAAUGGCCUGGUUUCUCACUUCAGUUAAAUUUGUGCUUCUGAGUGCUUGUAUUGUAGGUGAAACCGCACUGAGAAGGUAUUUGUGGCCCGUACGCUGGUUCAUUGAUGAGACUUCUUUGCACAGGAGAGCCGCUAAAAAUUACUGUGGUGAACAGACGGAGGCCCAUUGAGGCUUCUCUGUCCUCCACGGGGACCAGCAUUGGGCUAAACCUGCAGACACCAUUGCAAAGGGAAUUCAGGCAAACCCGGUGGUGAAGAAUGAUUCCAGCGCGAGGACAGAGGCUGACAUUUCUUGCCUGGGUGAUUUAAUGUUGCGCAUCAAUUUUUCACUCCCCCCGUAAGAGUAUGACAUAGCCACAACCUUGCCAGGGCCCGAGGGAGGGUGGAUGGACUUAUCCAUCCCAUAGGUGUUGCUCGUGGCUGGGUGACUUGCUUCUGCCAAUGAGAUUUUCACAGACACGGUACAAGCAGAAGCCUGGAAUCUGUGGGCACUGCCAGGCCUGCCCUCUAAGGCUCUUGAUUUUCCCCACGAGAUGUGCGUGCUCCAGGGAACGGCGGCUCUGGCUGUGGGAUGAGAGGCGUGUGGAGCAGGCAUGGUUCCCAUCCUUAGCCUGGAGUCAAGGCCAGACUAGAUCAGCCUAAGCCCAGCCAUGCCACAGGUGCAGUAGUGAAGAGCAAAUGCUAACUGUCCAUGGAAUUGACUUUCAAAGGGGCGUGUCAUGUGCCUCAUCCCAGCAACAGGGAAGGCAUUUCUCUAUCAGUCAGUUGGUAAAUGAUUAUUGACAAACAAUGUGCUGGGAAGGUGGAGUGAUUUGAGUAGAUUUGGCCUCUAUUCUCAUGGAGCUUCCUUUCUAGAGGGGAAGACACAUGAUGGAUGGAUAAAUAUAAAUGAUUCUAAUAGGUUGGUGCAGCAGUCAUUAAAAGUAAUGGCAAAAAAAAAAAAAAAAAAGAAACGGGGAGGAGCCAUUGCUGCCGUUCAUUAAUAGUAAUGGCAAAACCCGCGAUGACUUGUGCGCCAACCUAACCCAGUAACCAGGGGUGUGCAAAUGUGGCGAUGGGCAAGUUCCGAGUGCUAGGAGAGCAUCUAGCUUCCCGGAGUCAGGAGACGGGGGUUGGCAACCUAACCAAGGUUAAGUCCAAGUGAGGGGGGUGGGCAGGGAGCGAUAUUUCAGUGGAGACUCCAAGGAUGAAUGGUAUUUAGAGAGUAAACCCCGAUAGAGAGGGUGUGUGUCUGGCACAGAGAAGAGCCUGUGCAAAAGCUGGUGGGGCGAGAGGACACCGUGUGUUCAUCCACCUGAGGGGCGACCAGCAGGCUGGAGCUCAGCGGGUUGAGAGGAGGAUGCAGAGCCCGGGAAAGGCACCCUAGGCAGAGGGCACAGAAGUGCAAAGGCCUGGAGUCAGGCCUGAGCCUGUGUGGUUUGAGGAACGGACAGAGGCCUGUCCGUCAGGAAGGGAAUGGCACAGGGGAGAGACCUUAGGCCACAGCAGAGGGCAGGGCAGAGGGCAGGGCCGUGCUGGGCACUGUGGGCUGUGGAUGGUGCUGGCAUUUAAGAGGGGAGACCAUAGACCAGGGCAGAGGGCAGGGCCGUGCUGGGCACUUUGGGCUGUGGAUGGGAGCUGGCAUUUAUGCUCAGGUGAUGGGAAUGUGUUAAAAGAUUUUAAGGAGGGGAGUAACAGUUGGGAUUAAUGUGUAUUCUGGGAAUCUCAACAAAGUAAAUUCAUAGUUUGAAUUUUCAUAAGACUUCUGCACAGGCAGAGAGAAAUAAGAUCGUGUCUACAGCUGUGUGAUGAUUUUAUUGAAAAACUACUAAGUUUUUAAACGUGAUUUCAAAUGGUGUGUUUCUGUUUCACAUUGGACAUAAGUAGAUUGCAAGGCUAAUGGAAAGUAGAAAAGUUAACUCAUGAACAUAAAAGAGGUAUCGAUUUGAAAACAAAACAUUUAUUCAUUUACUUCCGCUGCAGAUUUCUUGACUGCUGAAUUUCAUGAGAAGGGAUUGUUCAGGGAGGGACGUGGGGCUGAAGACCUGGAGAGGAGGUGGUGCUACCGCUGUUCAAAUCUGAGGGUGGUGGAGAUGGAGCCUUGGGGAGGAGCAGGUGCUGCCUUUUAAGUCUAUGAGAUUCGUUGAGCUGGAGGUCCAGGGAGGAGCCGGUGCUCCCACUGAUGUCUUAGGUUGUGGAGCUGAAGACAAUGAAGGAGCCAGUGUGGCUGUUCUGUGAGACUCGUGGAGCUGGAGAUCCAGGUGGGAGAGGUGUUUUAGCUCGGGGAAGAGCUGAUAUUCUACCUUGAGGGUCCUGCAGCUGCAGAUCCGGGGAGGAGCUGAUGUUCUAGUUUGAGUGUCAUGCAGCUGCAGACCCGGAGAGGAGCUGAUGUUGUAGUUUGAGUGUCAUGCAGCUGCAGACCUGGAGAGGAGCUGAUGUUCUAGAUUGAGGGUCGUGCAGCUGCAGACCUGGAGAGGAG